AUAUUCGAAACAAUUUGUGUAUUAUAAAUAUUUUUCAAACAUUUAUUGAUUAUUAUUUAAAUUUGCUACACUGAUGUUUCAUAUGCCUGUUUAUGUCACGUGAGAGAAGGUCUGAUAAAAUUAUUUGCCAUUUCUAAUCUAUAUCUCAAUUUUGAAAUUAUCGAACAUAUACUUGUAUAAUUUAUGAUGUAAUUGUAACUAUAUUUGGUGAAGUUGUAGGAGUGCUACUUCCUCUCUGAUUUUGAUAAUUUUUGAAUAUGUUCAAAAGUGCAACAUUUUGAACAACUUGUUCCUAUACAUAUAACUGGCGGUUAGCUUCAGUUUCUAAGAUAGUCGCAAAAAAAUUUCCACUUCAGUGUAUUUUCGUCUAUAGUUGUGCGUUUUGGUGACAACGUAUACGUCAGAAGAAUGGUUUUAAAUUUCUUAGUGUUUAACAUUUUUUAAAUAUCAUUUGUUAUGUUUAGUAAACUUUUUAAUUCAUGUUUAAUUAUUGGUAAAUGUACAGAUCAAACCUAACCUUUCCGAUAUUGAUGACUUUUUAAUAUGUGAUGAAGCUGACAUAUGAGUAAUGAAUGUGGUAAAUAAGGAACAAUAUUGAUCAUGCUGUAAUAUACAGCAUGCAAAUAAGUAUAUUUGAUUUUUAUUGAAUGACGGAUUUAAAAUAACAAUUAUGUGUCUAAAACCAAUCUCAAUAUAAAUAUACAUCUAUAUACAAAACGUAUGGCUUAGGUCUUAAAUAAAAUUAUUGUACAAUAUACAAUUUCAAGUUUGUGUGUUAGACGCCAUAAAAUACUGUUAAUUAUUAUUCAAGGAAUAGUUAUAUACUAUAUCUAGUAGAUUAAUUAAUUUAUAUAUAAAUCAUUACCAAGCUUGAUUUUACGGAACAUUUGGCAGUUUCUUAGUUCUCGUAAACCAUAAGGGUACAAAAUAUAAUAACCCUAUUACCUCAUUUUUAAAAUUAUGUACAUUAUUAUCAAUUUAUUUUCGGGAAAAUUAAAUGUCUUUAUAAAAAUACAUAGAAAUAAAAGCUCGAUUCGUACUGCAGUA